rnacentral:rRNA from 1 species
CAGCCGCCGCGGAAUACGUAGGGCGCAAGCGUUGUCCGGAAUUAUUGGGCGUAAAGAGCUCGUAGGCGGUCUGUCGCGUCUGGUGUGAAAUCCCGAGGCUCAACCUCGGGCUUGCAUCGGGUACGGGCAGACUAGAGUGCGGUAGGGGAGACUGGAAUUCCUGGUGUAGCGGUGGAAUGCGCAGAUAUCAGGAGGAACACCGAUGGCGAAGGCAGGUCUCUGGGCCGCAACUGACGCUGAGGAGCGAAAGCAUGGGGAGCGAACAGGAUUAGAGACCCCAGUAGUCCCUGUCUCUUAUACA